rnacentral:rRNA from 1 species
UACGAAGGGGGCUAGCGUUGUUCGGAAUUACUGGGCGUAAAGCGCACGUAGGCGGGUUGUUAAGUCAGGGGUGAAAUCCUGGAGCUCAACUCCAGAACUGCCUUUGAUACUGGCAACCUAGAGACUGGAAGAGGUUAGUGGAAUUCCCAGUGUAGAGGUGAAAUUCGUAGAUAUUGGGAAGAACACCAGUGGCGAAGGCGGCUCACUGGCCCGGUACUGACGCUGAGGUGCGAAAGCGUGGGGAGCAAACAGG